rnacentral:rRNA from 1 species
CUGCUGCCUCCCGUAGGAGUCUGGGCCGUGUCUCAGUCCCAGUGUGGGGGGCCUUCCUCCCAGAACCCCUACGCAUCGUCGCCUUGGUGGGCCGUUACCCCGCCAACAAGCUAAUCAGACGCGGGUCCAUCUUACACCACCGGAGUUUUUCACACAAAUCCAUGCGGCUUCGUGCGCUUAUGCGGUAUUAGCACCUAUUUCUAAGUGUUAUCCCCCAGUGUAAGGCAGGUUACCCACGCGUUACUCACCCGUCCGCCACUAAGAUUUUACA